rnacentral:rRNA from 1 species
AGAGUUUGAUCCUGGCUCAGGACGAACGCUGGCGGCGCGCCUAACACAUGCAAGUCGAACGAGCGAGAGAGAGCUUGCUUUCUCAAGCGAGUGGCGAACGGGUGAGUAACGCGUGAGGAACCUGCCUCAAAGAGGGGGACAACAGUUGGAAACGACUGCUAAUACCGCAUAAGCCCACGGCUCGGCAUCGAGCAGAGGGAAAAGGAGCAAUCCGCUUUGAGAUGGCCUCGCGUCCGAUUAGCUAGUUGGUGAGGUAAUGGCCCACCAAGGCGACGAUCGGUAGCCGGACUGAGAGGUUGAACGGCCACAUUGGGACUGAGACACGGCCCAGACUCCUACGGGAGGCAGCAGUGGGGAAUAUUGCACAAUGGGGGAAACCCUGAUGCAGCGACGCCGCGUGGAGGAAGAAGGUCUUCGGAUUGUAAACUCCUGUUGUUGAGGAAGAUAAUGACGGUACUCAACAAGGAAGUGACGGCUAACUACGUGCCAGCAGCCGCGGUAAAACGUAGGUCACAAGCGUUGUCCGGAAUUACUGGGUGUAAAGGGAGCGCAGGCGGGAAGACAAGUUGGAAGUGAAAUCUAUGGGCUCAACCCAUAAACUGCUUUCAAAACUGUUUUUCUUGAGUAGUGCAGAGGUAGGCGGAAUUCCCGGUGUAGCGGUGGAAUGCGUAGAUAUCGGGAGGAACACCAGUGGCGAAGGCGGCCUACUGGGCACCAACUGACGCUGAGGCUCGAAAGUGUGGGUAGCAAACAGGAUUAGAUACCCUGGUAGUCCACACCGUAAACGAUGAUUACUAGGUGUUGGAGGAUUGACCCCUUCAGUGCCGCAGUUAACACAAUAAGUAAUCCACCUGGGGAGUACGACCGCAAGGUUG